AUGACCGUGAUGUUAGGAACUACACACCUUUCGAUUUGCAGUAUCUGUAUGUUAAAACUUUAUCCAGCAACGAUUGUAACAAGUGGUUUAGACGACGACGCUCCUCAAUCACUAUAAGCUCCAACCAGAUGUGUACUCUUAACAAAAUUAAAGAAGGAACAUGCCAAGGUGAUGGAGGCGGCAGCUUAGUGUGCAACGGCACUUCAGCCGGUAUCGUGUCCUACAACUGGCCCUGCGCUCUCGGUAUCCCUGAUGUGUACACCAACACGUUCAUGUACAUUCCCUGGAUAGAAGAAAAUACUAAAUCACCCUAAGCAUUGUCAUUUAUAAAAUGUUUUAAAUUGCAUCGCACUAAUUAAUGUGUUUUCUUAGUAAAAGGCUCAGGCUCAGAACAGGA